rnacentral:rRNA from 1 species
GACGAACGCUGGCGGCGUGCUUAACACAUGCAAGUCGAGCGGAGCGGCGAACGGGUGAGUAACGCGUGAGUAACUGCCCCCCUCCCUGGGAUAACAGUUGGAAACGGCUGCUAAUACCGGAUAGUGGGGGAUGACGCGCGUCCUAUCAGCUUGUUGGUGGGGUAGUGGCCUACCAAGGCGACGACGGGUAGCCGGCCUGAGAGGGCGACCGGCCACAUAGGGCUGCUGUACUGCACAAACUCCGACGGGAGGCAGCAGUGGGGGUGAGUGCACGAUGGGGGAAACCAUGAUGCAGCAACGCCGCGUGCGGUAUGUCUGCUCUCGGGUGGUAAACCGCUGUCAGCCAUGACGCGGUAGUGGCAGAAGAAGCACCGGCUAACUACGGGCCAGCAGCCGCGGUAAUUC